GCAACAGUUAACGAAGAGGUAUCGCUAUUAAUCGAUUUCACGUAAGUAUCGAACGGAUCAGUGACAGACGACAAAAAUACUCAGUGGCUGGAUAUACAAAGAUACUAUUUUAGAAAAUGGAUCGUGAUAUAUUAAUUUAAGAAUGCAUUCAAAAUGCUUCAGCAAUUUAAAGUUCGUUUUUUCUCUAAGCCAAGUAUGCAGAACUCGAAAAUUGCUUGCAGCUUCGUUAAGUCAACCAACCGUUAUCGAUACUUACGGCCACCGUUGCCAAUUGGAACGACGGUCUGAUUUGCUGUUUAUUAAAUUUCUCUUUUAAAGCAUUUUAAUUGAAUAUUAUGUACAGUGUACUGUGUACUAAACAACAUUGUAGCCACUUACAUUUAUGCGCCAUGUCAACUUAGUACAUACAAGCAGAGAAACGGGAAUUGCCCACUGGGACAGCGCAAAAACUAUGUUCAGCCGCAGCCACAGAGCAGCGGCCGCAUUCGAAAAGAGACGCGCGGACACUUGGAGGGCACGGGCGAUGUGAGUGGACCAAUGUCCAGCAACGCUCGCGACUGGUACCUCUUGUGCAUGUCAGUAUGUAUAUGCAUAUGUAGCAGAUACAAACAAGCAACACACACGCAGGCAGCGCAGCUAGCGCAGCGCAUAGAAAACGUCGCGUGUGUUUGUGGAUUUUGAUUUAUGGAUGUUAUGCUCUGAUGUACGGUUCUUUCACGCACUGGCAACAUAAUGUGGCAUUAUAAUGUCGCAUGUCACACACACACACGCAAGGCGAUAGAGUGUAUGUGUGUAUGAUUAAAUCCUCUACCCAUCGAAAAUGCAUCAACAGCAAUCUAGCCAUGCUCUUCUAUUGGAAUGGAUCAAUCCCAGCGAGCUACAUUUUGAAUGUGGGAUACACAAAUUUAUUUCAAAAAAUUGACAACUGCCUUAAUGUUUCUUCGCAAUCGAUAAAUAUCGAUUAUUAAACCAAGCUUUUGAGAUUAUUAGAGCUAGAGGCAUUACAUUUUGACAUGUGCAUAAAUUCGAAUGACAUCUUGAAGCCAUUAACGCAAACAGCAGCAAGUGGAGGGUAUUUGCUAGUCGAUGCCACUCGCCAAGAGCACUCUACUGGCUUGUUAUGAAUUUAUUGUGUGACGGAAGUUGGGGACCCACUUGAAGUCGCUCUUCAACUUCAUAAAUAUUUGCAUGCCAAUGGCCCCAGCAGAUGCUGCUAAUUGGCAGCGCGAAACCUACAGACGGCAUUUCAUAUCUUUUGGCACUUUCAACUUAAGGGCAAACAUAUCAUAAACACUCUGACAGACACGCUGAGGCUCGCCUUGAUAAGUAACCAACCUGUGGUGAAUGUGCCGCAGAUAAGAGAAACAAAAAAAUGAUGAACGGAAAUGCAAUAUUGGAUGUCGGUUUGGCAUGGAGUUCGGGGGAAAAACAAAAAAAAAAUGCAACUCAUUAAAAACCUUGGUUAACGCCAGUUGUCAGAGGCAUGACAUGGGUGCAACACCCAGGCGCAGGAAGGGUCAUGGCGAUUGGCAAUCCGCUGGGAUGUUUGGGGCUACACCUCAUUUUCACCUACCCACAUUUUUUGUUGGGCGAUGCUGCCACUAACCCAUGUCAAAAUGUUUGCCUUGUUUUAUAGCGCUAAGGGCAAUUGCUAAUACGGUUGGCACACACAAACGCACUGACACACACACACACACACAUACUACACCGUUAACUGCUGGCCAGCACCUGUAGGGAAUUGCUUGUCACCUGGAACACCGCCACGCCAAACGAAUCGCAGCAUUCAAUUUCUGUUUUAUUUUAUUAUUACUUUCUGGCUGCUCUGUGGCUGUUCGUCUUCCUUUAAGCGACGUCUUUUAUGCGGGCAGCAAUUUUCGUGCCGCUUUUUUUGCUGCCUUAUUAUAGCCUUGCAAAAGGUAUUAUAACUUUGUCAUUAAAUGUGUAACGCACAGAAGAAGACAUC